rnacentral:vault_RNA from 1 species
GCCUGGUGUAGCUCAGUGGUUACUUCUGAAAACUUUCUCUAUAAGAAAUGUUCUACACCUCUGCAAAGGGUUCGAACCGGGCGCUGUCCAGUGUUUUG